rnacentral:rRNA from 1 species
GAUGAACGCUAGCGGGAGGCCUAACACAUGCAAGCCGAGCGGUAUUUCUUCUUCGGGGGAGAGAGAGCGGCGUACGGGUGCGGAACACGUGUGCAACCUGCCUUUAUCUGGAGGAUAGCCUUUCGAAAGGAAGAUUAAUACUCCAUAAUAUAUUAAUUGGCAUCAAUUGAUAUUGAAAACUCCGGUGGAUAGAGAUGGGCACGCGCAAGAUUAGCUAGUUGGUGAGGUAACGGCUCACCAAGGCAAUGAUCUUUAGGGGGCCUGAGAGGGUGAUCCCCCACACUGGUACUGAGACACGGACCAGACUCCUACGGGAGGCAGCAGUGAGGAAUAUUGGUCAAUGGGUGCAAGCCUGAACCAGCCAUCCCGCGUGAAGGAUUAAGGUCCUAUGGAUUGUAAACUUCUUUUGUAUAGGGAUAAACCUACCCUCGUGGGGGUAGCUGAAGGUACUAUACGAAUAAGCACCGGCUAACUCCGUGCCAGCCGCCGCCGUAACAC